GGUCCCAUAGCUCAGUUGGUUAGAGCGUCGUACUAAUAGAUUCAAACAUAUCACCUCUCUUCGUGAGUCGUGAUAGGAUCCAUCAAGUAAUGCGAAGGUCUUGGGUUCAACCCCCAAUGGGACCA